GGUCACACCUGUUCCCAUGCCGAACACAGAAGUUAAGCUCCUUAGCGUCGAUGGUAGUCGAACUUACGUUCCGCUAGAGUAGAACGUUGCCAGGCA
rnacentral:rRNA from 2 species